rnacentral:rRNA from 1 species
UACGUAGGGUGCAAGCGUUAAUCGGAAUUACUGGGCGUAAAGCGUGCGCAGGCGGUUUUGUAAGACAGAGGUGAAAUCCCCGGGCUCAACCUGGGAACUGCCUUUGUGACUGCAAGGCUUGAGUGCGGCAGAGGGGGAUGGAAUUCCGCGUGUAGCAGUGAAAUGCGCAGAUAUCAGGAAGAACACCCGUGGCGAAGGCGGCUCUCUGGAACGCAACUGACGCUGAGACGCGAAAGCGUGGGGAGCAAACAGG